rnacentral:lncRNA from 1 species
UAUUAUUUUGUUUUGUCUUGUCUUUGUUUCUAAUUUUGUCUUUGUUUUAAUGCAGCUUUUCAUUUUAUCCUAUGCGCCGAGGGUCGAUUGGAAACAGCCUCUCUGCCCUUUCGGGCAGGGGUAAGGCUCUUCUACAUAUUACCCUACCCAGACCCCACCUGGUGGGAAUAUACUGGGUAGUUGUUGUUGUUGUUGUUGUUGUU